UCCGAUGCCACGUUCAUGGAACCCAAGUUGGCUGCGUCCGGCAGCUAUCGUGCUCAGCGGCUGCGUCCCCGCACGGCCGCUGCUCCCUCCUAGAAAAACCCAUGUGUUGCAGAGCUCGCACCGGCAGCUAGCGCUCGCACUCGGAGGAGCCCGCGUGCUGCAGAGCUCGCUUGCCCCGGGGCCGGAGGCUCACGCACAUCGAUGGCCGUCCAAGGCCAUGGCAGCAGCAGCCCGCAGGCAGCCCUAAGCGCCACGCCUCACCCCCGUCCAUGAUCCACAACGAGCUGUGAGUCUCCCACCGUUGAUUCCCUCUUCGAGCUUCACGGCCUCGUCUUCUCCAAUAGGACCGUCCACAACGCCGCUGCCACUGUCGAUGGCGGGCUACGUUGCACCGAUACGGAUACGGCGAUACCGAUACGGCGAUACGUUGAUACGGCAUUUUCAGAAAACAAGGAUACGCCGAUACGGCAAGUAUAUAAAUAUAUCAAAAAAAUCAGAAUACUUCUAUUAAGAAUAAUUUUCACUCUAGUAGAAUAAUCAACAAAUAGAGAUGACAAAAUAUAGACAUGGCUAGUACCAUGAAACAUUUAAGAUACUUGGUUUCACACUAGCAGAAAACUAAAUAUUAUUUUUAAUAUCCUUACAGCAGAAUGAUAAAUAUUAGGAUACUAUAAGUUUUAGGCUAAGUUCGCUACUACAUCUAUUGUGUACGUGUGGUGGCUAGUAGAGUUUUAGUGUUGUGUAAAUGGACCACAAAAAUGAGCUGCUAAUUUGAUGGACUUCAAUUUGAGAGGUUAUGGGCUGGGAAGUAUCGGGAAGGUAUCGGUCUAGUAUCGACGAAGUAUCAGAUUUAUUUUAUUUAUUUUUAUUUUUCUAUUUCCCCGAUACUUCUCCGAUACCGUAUCGGCGCCGUAUCGGCGUAUCAGCGUAUCGGAUACGUAUCGCGAUACCGAUACGGCGAUUCAGAGAAGUAUCGGGGUAACGCAGAUGGCGGGGGGCGCCACCUGCAUAUGGUUGACUAUGGCCUCGGCUACGGGAUCUAGUGGUCGGGGCUGCUUCAUGUCCUCACCACAAGGGAGGGCAGCCCGCCAGAGCUGGUCAUGAACUCAUGAUCACCGGCAUGGAACUGCCACAGACUGCUGCCUCCUGCCGAAGUGGACGAAAAAUGCUAAGUGUUGCAAGCCUUUGCAUUGUAUGCGUGCUGAGUCAUUGGAUAGGGAAUGGAGGGUGGAGAUCGCAGGAAAGUUACAAUGUAACUUUGCUCUGCAAAGUCACCUAAUCUGGCUCC
rnacentral:lncRNA from 1 species